rnacentral:rRNA from 1 species
AUAAUUAUUAUCUUACUUUAAAUAAUUAAAUUUAUAUAAGAAAUAUCUCUUCAUUUAGUAUAUUAAAGAAAAAUAUUAAUAGUUAUAGUAAAUUAGUACUGUCAAGGAAUUGAUGAAAUAACUUAAAUCAUAAUUAUUUUAAAGUAUAUUUUAUUUAUAGUACCUUUUGUAUCAGGGUUAAUCUAAUAUAUUAAUAUAUUUUUUAUUCUCGAUUUCAAAAGAGCUAAUUUAUUAUUUUAGUUAACGUAUUAUAGUUAUUAAUAAUAUAAUUUAGAGGAGAAAUUUUAUUCGGUUUUGAAGGUAUCUAGUUUUUUAAGAAAUAAAUUUAAUUUAUUCUAAUUAUUUAGUUUUUAUAUUAUAUUAUAAACUAUUUAUUUAGUAAAAAAUUAUAGGGGAUAAGCUCUAUAUUUUUCUACAAAUUCUAUAUUAAUAAAUUUUUGUAGGUUUAAAAUUAUCCAUCAUUAAAAAGUGUGUUAUAAUUUAUAUUUUCUAUUAAUUGAUUUUAUUAACUUUAGUUUUAUAUUAAAAUACUAAAAUUAAUUUUAUAUUUUAGGAAAUAAUGAUUAAAUUAGUAUAAUAAUGUGUAUAAUAUAAUUUUAUAGUUAUGAUAAAAUAAGGAACUCGGCAAAUAUAGUUGUCGCCUGUUUAACAAAAACAUGUCCUUUUGAUUUUAAUUGAAGGUCUGACCUGCCCAGUGAUUAAUUUAACGGCCGCGGUAUACUGACCGUGCAAAGGUAGCAUAAUCAUUAGUCUUUUAAUAGAGGGCUGGAAUGAAAGGUUUAACGAGGAACUGACUGUCUCAUUUUAUUUGUUUUAAAAUUUAAUUUUUUAGUUAAAAAGCUGAAAUUUUAUUGGAAGACGAGAAGACCCUAUAGAUCUUUAUAUAAAUUUAAUUAAUUAUCUUUAUAUAAAUAUAAUUAUCUAAAUUUAUAUUUUGUUGGGGUGACAAAAAUAUAAAAUUAACUUUUUUAUUAAUUUAACAUUAAUUUAUGAAUAUAUGAUCCAUUAUUAGUGAUUAUUAGACUAAGUUACCUUAGGGAUAACAGCGUAAUCCUCCUCCAGAGUUCAUAUUUACAGGAUGGGCUUGCGACCUCGAUGUUGGAUUAAGAUAAUAAUCAGGUGCAGUCGCUUGAUUUAUAGGUCUGUUCGACCUUUAACCCUUACA